GCCGGUGUGGCCUAGUGGUUGGAGCGUUGGACUAUGACUCUGGAGACCAGGGUUCUAAUCCUGGCUCAACCA
rnacentral:tRNA from 1 species